AGACCCAACAAAAAUUAUAGAGAGAGAGAGAAAGAGAAAGUUCUAGAGAACACCAAGGAAGAGAAGAAGGAGAGAGCUUGAAGAAGAAGGAGGAAGAGGAAAGCUUUGACCUCCAUUAAUCAUCCAUCUAAAGUCGUGAGUCGAGGACGGCACAACUGUUUCUGGAAGCCACUCCUAUGUUCAUGUGGCCCUUGCUCGGGAGUAACAAUACCGUAGCUUAUGUUCAUGUGGCCCUCGCCUAGAAAUACCAUGGCUAUAUGUGCACAGAAAUCUCUAACAUGGAUGUACUGGAACCACCGUACUGUUAUGCUAAGGGAGGUACUGACAUAACUGUUUAUAAGUACGGACAUGACUAUCCACAAGUAACGGUGAGCAUCUGGAGGGCAGGUCUAGAAGAGGUCUUUAGCCGAGCUACCGUUUUGAAGCCUACCAAGUUGUUUUGAGUGCCUCCGAGUUGGGGCUAGGCCUGGAAGUACGUUGUCAAACUUUUGACCUUGAUGUACACUUUUGAUGCGUGUAAAUGAUAUGUAUCGAUAUGUGGUUAAAUUAACGUUUAUAUGUGUAUGUGUAACAACCCCAUCAUGUAUUAUGAUUAGUACUUAAUUAAUUAAAAAGAUUUGAAUUUUAAUUGCCAAUUAUUCU